rnacentral:rRNA from 1 species
UACGUAGGGUGCGAGCGUUGUUCGGAAUUAUUGGGCGUAAAGCGCUGGUAGGUGGCUUGUUAAGUCGCGUGUGAAAUCUCCAGGCUCAACCUGGAAAGUGCGCGCGAAACUGGCGAGCUUGAGUGCCGGAGAGGGUCGCGGAAUUCCCAGUGUAGAGGUGAAAUUCGUAGAUAUCGAGAGGAACACCGGUGGCGAAGGCGGUUCUCUGGGCCUUACCUGACGCUGAGGAGCGAAAGCGUGGGGAGCGAACAGG